rnacentral:rRNA from 1 species
UACAGAGGUCCCAAGCGUUGUUCGGAUUCACUGGGCGUAAAGGGUGCGUAGGUGGUGAGGUAAGUCGGAUGUGAAAGCUCCGAGCUCAACUCGGAAAUGGCAUUGGAAACUACCUUGCUAGAGGGUUUGAGGGGGGACUGGAAUACUUGGUGUAGCAGUGAAAUGCGUAGAUAUCAAGUGGAACACCAGUGGCGAAGGCGAGUCCCUGGAAAACUCCUGACACUGAGGCACGAAAGCUAGGGGAGCAAACAGGAU